UUGAAAAAUAUAUUAUUUGGCAUUUUAUUAAGUUUGCAGGUUGAAUGGACUCUAAUUAUUAAAAUAUUACUCGAUGUUUCCCAAUGUUUCAAUUAUACAUGGUGAAACUAUAAAAGUUUAGAAAGUUAAGAAAAAAUGUGAGAUUACAAAUUAAGGGAUUACUUUGAGAUUGAACACGUAGUAUAUUUAAUUCUUUCUUGUAGUUUGAUUGUGAUAAGGGGAUGGUUUCCAGAGGGCGCGGCGUAUGUAACUGAAAAGCAAAAUUUAACUGAUUCUACGGAUGUGAACAUCGGAGAAAAACAUUUUGAAUGUGAAACAUGCUCCAAACAACAAGUUAUUCUUUAAAAUUACAUAUGAGAGUGCAUACUGGUGAAAAACCAUUUGAAUGUGAAAUUUGCAAGAAACAGUUUUCA
rnacentral:lncRNA from 1 species